GUUGGUUUGUCAGAACUUGAGUCGAAUGGGUCCAUAGGUUGGAAAAGCUCAAUUAGCUAAAAUCGGAAAAUAUUGAUGCAUAAGAUUGGUCUUGAAUCAAAGCAGGAUGAAGCCUUUUGAGCCAUCGGCAAAUGUGGCCACAUUGCAAGAAAGCUUCCAUUAGCAACCAAUCAGACUACAAGCCCCACCAGUCUGCUCCCUUCUUCCAUCCUUUCUUUUCUAUUCUUUUUAAUCAAGUCCCAAACCCCAAGGUUACAAACUUCCAAUUGAAACCCUUGCAACAUGCCAAAACCAAUUUGAAAUGACUAAUCACAGAGAAGUGCCUCCAAACAAGAUACACACCAGCCACGCAAAGCUUAUUGCGAUAGCGUGCAAGAGGACUCAGGAAGCUCCAUUUUCCCUUCAGUCUCUGAAGACUCAGGAAGCAAUUGAAUAACUGCAAAAUUUUCCAAAAGCACAAGGGUUCUGUGUGAGAUGUAUGUAGGGCAAUAUUUAGAUUUUUCAGUGGUGGAUGCAUGCUAUGCCACCGAAAUCAUGUUGUAAUUUUUUUAAUCCCCAGAGUUAAAUGGACAAAAUUUACAAAUAGUUUGAGAUGAAUUUUAAUUAGGUUUAAGAUGA